ACGAGAAGAGACUCCACCACCAUAGUCAGAACUAGGAUUUCUGGCUAUGGGUGGCAUAUAUCAAGUUUUGUAAUGAUCUUCUUAGAAAGGGGCAGGGGAACCUUUGCCCGAGGAAGAGGAUAUCUCAUUCAUCAUGGGAGCCUUAAACAACACAAAUUAUUCCCAUUGUAGACUAUCGCUAUUAUUUGCAAAAUGCACUUCAGUUACACUGUCUCCAAGUCUUUGCCUCUCUUCAGCUCUCCAGCGGUGUUUCCCCGACUUCUCUCUUCCCUACAAUACCCCCAUCUCUUUGAGUUCCUGCAGCCAGGGGGACAACCCAGCCAUGGACCUUUGGAGCUGGAUUCUACUUGACUGGUCAGCCCUGACAGAAACCCUGAGAGGUGUCACCCCAGGAGUUGGCGUGGGAAGCCUCCAGAUGCAGCUGAAGGGCAUUGCCAGGCCUCUCGGUGGCUUUCUUUGCCCAGACUCCCAAGGCAGGGACAGAGCGCUUUGCUGCAGUGUUCUGUGCCUCUGGACCAGUUCCUUGCCCAGUUGGCAGAGGGCCUACCUUGUCCUCCAGCUUGUUAUUCUAGCUUGAUUAGCAGCAAACCCCUGGCAUCAAUCUCAACUCUGAAUGAUCUAAUCAAUUUAUAUAAUAGGAAAAUGAUGAGUUCCCUGCACAGAGGCACGGAGUCCUUUGGGGGCCCAGCCCCAUGACGAAUGCCACUUUUGCUCACUGAAUCAAUAUUUAAGUCACUGAUUUCCAGCUGGCUAUCUUCAAAGCCUUUACCUUGGCCCUGAAUUGCUGCAAGAGCCUCCUAGGGAUGAAGGCUUGCUAUCUCAGAUGUCUCCCUUUAUAGCUCCAUUGCCAGCAUCUGCCACUCAUUGCUGUGAUCAUGCCAUUUGAUCUGAUCAUGUGACUAAUGUCCCUGGAUCGCAGUCUUCCGUGGCUCCCCCAAGGCUAUAAAAAUUUAGUCUUCAAACCCUUGGGACUGCCAUUCAAAACCCUUGCUGAUGUGAUUCCCGAAAAUUAUUCUAGCCUCAAAUUCUCCCAUGUCCUGCUUAUCGUCCCUAAUCAUCAGGCCUUUGCCUGUGCUAUGGCCCCUGCUGGAGUGCCAUUGUCCUUCUCCUCUCCAGCUCUUCAAAUAUAUAGCUCAACUCAGGUUAGAACUUCUUUCCAGAAAACUUUUCCUUUGUAGGAUGCUCUGACCCGAUCACUUUGAUGACAUCAUUUCGAUCCUAAGAUCAUUUGAUUUUGCCGUGUCCUUGAGAACUUCAGGCACUGUUCUGGGGGCUAAGGAAACAGCAAUGUGAAUGGAGGGCAGUCAGCUGUGAAACUUUGCCAGGUCACAGAGAGAGAGGCAGAGACAUAGGCAGAGGGAGAAGCAGGCU